AUGAGCUUGCAGGAGCCCAUACGAGCCUGUAGAGGUCUGUACGAGCCUGUAGAGUCCCAUACAAGCCCGUACAAGCCUCUACGGGAUCCUACUGGCCUUGUACAGGCCUCGUACGGGCCUUUACAGGUUCGUUCGGGCCUCACACAGGCUUGUGCGGGCCUCCACAGCCUCAUACAGGCUCGUAUGGGCUCAUGCAGACCUCCAUGGGCUCAUACGGGCUCGUACAGGCUCGUGCGGGCCUCCACAACCUCGCAGGAGCUCACACAGGCCUCUACGGGCUUAUACAGGCCUCGUACAGGCUUGUGCAGGCCUCCAUGGGCUCGCAUGGGCCUCCUAUGGGCUCAUGCGGGCCUCCAUGGGCUUGCACAGGCUCGCACAGGCCUUGUACCAGAUCAUACAAGCUCAUGCAGGCCUCCACAGGCUCACAAGGGCUUGCACAGGCCUCUACAGGCUCGCACGGGUCUUGUACUGGAUUGUACAAGCUCAUGCAGGCCUCCACAGGCUUGCAUGGGCUCACAGGGGCCUCUACAGACUUGCACAGGCCUCGUACUGGAUCGUACAAGCUCAUGCAGGCCUCCACAGGCUCGCAAGGGCUUGUGUGGGCCUCUAUGGGCUUGUACGGGCUCGUACGGACUCAUGCGGGCCUCCACAGGCUCGCACAGGCCUCUACAGGGUCACAUGGGCCUCACACGGGCUCGUAGGGGCACAUGCAGGCCUCCAUGGGCUCGCAUGGGCUCAUACGGCCUCACGUGGGCCUUGCACGGGCCUCUAUGGGCUCGCCUGAGCCUUGUAUGGGCUUGCACGGUCUCAUACGGGCUCGUACUGGCUCGUACAGGUCUCCACGGGCUCCCACGGGCCUCGUACGGGCUUGUGCGGGCAUCCACAGGCUCGCACGGGCCUCCUACAGGCUCGUGCAGGCCUCCACAGGCUUGCACGGGCUUGCAUGGGCCUCAUAUGAGCCUCCGUGGGCUCACAGGGGUUCUUACGGGCUCACACGGACCUCUACGAGCUUGCACAGGCCUCGUACCAACUUGUACGGGCUCGUACAGGCCUCCUAAGGCCUCGUACGGGUUCGUGCAGACCUCCAUGGGCUCACACAGGCUCCCAUGGGCCUUGUAUGGGCUUGUACAGGCCUCCACAGGCUCGCAGGGGCUUGCACGGACAUCUACGGGCUCACAUGGGCCUCAUACAGGCUCAUAUGGGUUCGAGCGGACUUCCACAGGCUCACACAGGCUUGUGCAGGGUCAUGCAGACCUCCACGAACUCACACAGGCUUGCACAGGGUCAUGCAGACCUCCACGAACUCACACAGGCUUGCACAGGCCUCGUACAGGCUCGCAUGGGCUCGUGUGGGCCUCCACAGCCUCACACGGGCUUGCACGGGCCUCUAUGGGCUCGCACGGGCCUCCACAGGCUCACACAAACCUCUGUGGGCUUGCACAGGCCUCUAUGGGCUUGCGCAGGCCUCACACGGGCCUCUACGGACUCGCACGGGCCUCCACGGGCUCACACAGGCCUCGUAUGGGCUCGCGCAGGCCUGCAGGGGCUCUUACGGGCUCGCUCAGGCCUCUACGGGCUUGCACAGUCCUUGUAGGAGCUUGUGCAGGCCUCCACAGGCUCACAGGGGCUUGCAUGGGCCUCAUACCGGCUCGUAUGGGUUCUCAAGGACCUCCAUGGGCACGCACAGGCUCACACGGGCCUCAUACGGGAUCAUACGGGCUCGCCCAGGCCUCUACAGGCUUGUAUGGGCCUCGUACGGGCUUGUACGGGCUUGUACGGGCCUCCACAAGCUUGCACGGGCUCACACGGGCCUCUACGGGCUCCUACAGGCCUCUACAGGCUCGCCCGGGCCUUGUACUGGCUCGUAUGGGCUCAUACAGGCCUCCACGGGCUCGCACAGGCCUUGUACGAGCUCGUACGGGCUGGUGA
rnacentral:lncRNA from 1 species